AGCACACAGGAGCUUGCUCCUUGGGUGACGAGUGGCGGACGGGUGAGUAAUGUCUGGGAAACUGCCCGAUGGAGGGGGAUAACUACUGGAAACGGUAGCUAAUACCGCAUAACGUCGCAAGACCAAAGAGGGGGACCUUCGGGCCUCUUGCCAUCGGAUGUGCCCAGAUGGGAUUAGCUAGUAGGUGGGGUAACGGCUCACCUAGGCGACGAUCCCUAGCUGGUCUGAGAGGAUGACCAGCCACACUGGAACUGAGACACGGUCCAGACUCCUACGGGAGGCAGCAGUGGGGAAUAUUGCACAAUGGGCGCAAGCCUGAUGCAGCCAUGCCGCGUGUAUGAAGAAGGCCUUCGGGUUGUAAAGUACUUUCAGCGAGGAGGAAGGGGAUGUGGUUAAUAACCGCAUUCAUUGACGUUACUCGCAGAAGAAGCACCGGCUAACUCCGUGCCAGCAGCCGCGGUAAUACGGAGGGUGCAAGCGUUAAUCGGAAUUACUGGGCGUAAAGCGCACGCAGGCGGUCUGUCAAGUCGGAUGUGAAAUCCC
rnacentral:rRNA from 1 species